UCGAGAAUCUUCCACAAUGGACGAAAGUCUGAUGGAGCGACGCCGCGUGAGUGAUGAAGGCCCUACGGGUUGUAAAACUCUGUCAGGAGAGAAGAAUCGCCGGGAUGCCAAUACCAUCCUGGUUUGACGUUAUCUCCAGAGGAAGCUCCGGCUAACUCCGUGCCAGCAGCCGCGGUAAUACGGGGGGAGCAAGCGUUGUCCGGAAUUAUUGGGCGUAAAGGGCGUGUAGGCGGCUUGGUCAGUCGAAUGUGAAAUCCCACGGCUCAACCGUGGAAUUGCGUUCGAUACUGCCUGGCUUGAGUAUGUGAGAGGUGUGCGGAAUUCCUGGUGUAGCGGUUGGAAUGCGUAGAUAUCAGGAAGAACACCGAUGGCGAAGGCAGCACACUGGCGCAAUACUGACGC
rnacentral:rRNA from 1 species